UACAGAGGGGGCAAGCGUUGUUCGGAAUUACUGGGCGUAAAGGGCGCGUAGGCGGCCUGUUAAGUCGAACGUGAAAUCCCCGGGCUCAACCCGGGAACUGCGUCCGAUACUGGCAGGCUUGAAUCCGGGAGAGGGAUGCGGAAUUCCAGGUGUAGCGGUGAAAUGCGUAGAUAUCUGGAGGAACACCGGUGGCGAAGGCGGCAUCCUGGACCGGCAUUGACGCUGAGGCGCGAAAGCCAGGGGGAGCAAACGGG
rnacentral:rRNA from 1 species